rnacentral:rRNA from 1 species
AUGGCGGCGUCGACCCACACGCCGUUGGCGAAGCGCACGCUGGGCCCGCCGUCGUCGCCGGGGCUGUCGGAGAGGAGGCGCAGCGCGACGUGGGACGCGAGCGCGGCGUGCGCGGGGCCGAGGAAGGCGACGACCUGGUCGAGCGUGGCGCCCCGGGCGCCCGCGCCGAGCAGCGCCAGCGCGGCGUGGAUGGAGAGAGGGGAGACUGCGAGGUUGGCGCCCGAUGCGGCCGCCGUGCCACCAGCGCAGGCGAGGUGGCGGAGCACGCGCAUGGCGAAGGCGGCCUCCGCGAGCUCCAUGGCGGGCCCUGGCUCUGGUCGGCGGGUGGGGUGGGGGUUUUGGUUGCGACGGCGAGGGGUCUGGUUUUGGGCUCUGUAG